rnacentral:rRNA from 1 species
CCUACGGGAUGCUGCAGUGAGGAAUAUUGGUCAAUGGACGCAAGUCUGAACCAGCCAUGCCGCGUGCAGGAAGACGGCUCUAUGAGUUGUAAACUGCUUUUGUACGAGGGUAAACGCAGAUACGCGUAUCUGUCUGAAAGUAUCGUACGAAUAAGGAUCGGCUAACUCCGUGCCAGCAGCCGCGGUAAUACGGAGGAUUCAAGCGUUAUCCGGAUUUAUUGGGUUUAAAGGGUGCGUAGGCGGUCGGAUAAGUUAGUGGUGAAAUCCCGAGGCUCAACCUCGGAAUUGCCUCUGAUACUGUUCGGCUAGAGAGUAGUUGCGGUAGGCGGAAUGUAUGGUGUAGCGGUGAAAUGCUUAGAGAUCAUACAGAACACCGAUUGCGAAGGCAGCUUACCAAGCUACUUCUGACGUUGAGGAGCGAAAGCGUGGGUAGCAAACAGGAUUAGAUACCCCUGUAGUC